rnacentral:lncRNA from 1 species
GCCCAGCAGAGAUUGAGUAACUUAUGCGAGUUGUCACUCACCUCACACGCCCCAGCAAGCAUCCAGGAGAGCCUGCCUCUUGGAAUAGAAAUCAGACAUCCCACAGGAACUCUGAGGUUUUCCCACUGCUGCCAGAUGUAUGCAAGGAACACGUGAUCUUCGUAAUUCCAGAGCGGGGCAAACUGCUUGGCACCUCUUCAAUAGGUGACAUUCAAUGAUAGAUCUCUGGCUUCCUGCUCUGUUUGUUCUGGUUGCCCUGGAAAGCCUGCUGCUCAGCCCAUGCCCCGGGACUUCCUCCACCCUCACCAGGACAUUCUUUCCAUCUCUUGUCUCCUGUGUGCAAGUCCCUUUCUCCUGGAUUCCAUGUCUUGAAUGUUUCUUAAUUUACUUCCUCAUUUUGGCAGAGGAUGUCCUCCAGUUGUUUUCUGGGAAUGCUAAUAUGCAAGUGAACCAGUGACCUGCAGUUCUGCCCACACAGGGUUAAUAACCAAUCAGAUUCUCUCUUUUCAAGAUGGUUAACAUAACAGACACCAAGAAAGGGAAGAGGAGCCGACAGCAGAGGGGGAAGCUGAAAAGACGCACAAAGAAUGGCCAUAAAAGAUAUGAGCAACCCCAGCUUUCCAGACAGUCACUUUUCCCAGUGGUCAUACCUGGUCUGGAAGAUUCCCCAUCAUCUCGAAUAAAGGUAAGCACUUCCUAAGUCCCCUUCAGCAACACAUGCACAAACCGCCUC